GGGGCUAUGGCUCAGUGGUAGAGCAUCUGGUUCACAAGCAGAAGGUCCCCGGUUCAAUCCCCCGAAGCUCCA
rnacentral:tRNA from 1 species